rnacentral:lncRNA from 1 species
AAGGAAUUCAGGAGUGUUUUUCCAGGACCUUUCUAUCUAGCAUGUUGUACUGCUAUCAACUGAAGAUAAGACAUGGGGCAUUUUAGAAAAGCCACAUGACUGUGAUACCGACCCCUUUCAUCCCGUCUAUGGAAGACACAGUGACUGAUAAUAACUUCAGUAACUCACCCAAUGUCUGAACUCAAACACGAAUCGGCAGUCUGAAGGCAUAAGCAAUUAUUUCACAGAAGUGUGAGGUUGGAUUGCAGGCUCCUGAAAAAAAAAGAGCAUGUUGCAAAGUUAUUCUAUUUGAAAAUAACAAGGUAAUUUUUGUUAAGAUCAAAGGCUGAUUUCAAAGAAAAGACCUCCCUGAAUAUUUUCCUCCUUCUGGUAUCUGAUGUGUAUGUAUGCAAAUACAACUUCAAACCCAAAGGUUACACAGAAAAAUACUGCAUGGAACACUGGAUUUGGAACCAGAAAACUCCCUUUCUCCAGCUGUGACUUUGGACAAGCCACAUGUCCUCUCCAGACCUCAGUGCUGUCCUCUGCAGAAGGAGCCAACCCUUCAACAGGCCUGCGUGGAGACUUCUGUGUGGGAAGAGCUAUGAAGGAUCAAUAAGCUACCAUCUGCCAAGUUCAUGCCGUGCUAUGAGUACUGCACCCCUGUUUACUUCACUCCAUUCACACAAAGCCCUUUGAUGGAGACAUUGCAAGCCCAGGUCCAGAGAGUUUAGCCACACAGUAAGUGGAAAAGCCAAGAUUCAAACUCAAGUCAUUGGCCCCAAAACCUUGUCUUCCUCUGCUCACCUUCAUCUAGGCUUAUAUGUGAUAAAGAAUGUUGAAACUGGGAAGAGCUGGAUAUGUAAUAACUAAAGGGUUUUUGUUUUUGUACUGGAGAUUGAACCCAGGGAUAUUCACUCAACCACUGAGUCACAUCCCCAGACAUAUUUUGUAUUUUAUUCAGAGACGGUAUCUUACUGAGUUGUUUAGGGACUCUAUAAAUUGCUGAGGCUGGCUUUGAACUCAUGAUCCUCCUGCCUCAGCCUCCUGCACUGCUGGGAUUACAGGUGUGCGCCAACACACAGUGGGAAUUUUGAAUGCAUUUUUCAUAAAGAAACAAUAAAUGGGGCUGUUCAGUUUAGGGUUUUUGUUUUUAUUUUGUGGUGCUGGGGAUUGAAUCCGGGAUCUCAUACAUGCUAGGCAAAAGUUCUACCCCAGCUACACCCCCAGUCCUACCCGUGGUUUUAAUUGGAUUUAUGCUGUCCUCCUAAACUAUUUUCCUUUGCCUUUCCUCCUCCUCCUCCUCCUUCUCCUCCUCCUCCUCCACCUCCUUCUCCUUCUUCUUUAUUUUUUUUCCACUGUCAGCAUGAGGUGAUGUCCUUAGAGAAACUUACUUCACUUUAUGGAACUCCUUGGGAAAGAAAUGUAAUACAUCAUGCAAUAGCUUUACCUGCCUGCCUGUGGCUCUGCCCAUCUUCCAUGUUAUGGAGGGCAAGAGUUGUGAUCAAUUGUAAAUAAUUGUGAUGAAGUCUUUGGAGAUCCAGUAGGCUGGGACAUGGAUCCCAAACCUCUUGCUUUUUCUCUUUUCUUUUGCAUCAAAAUAUCUACAGGCAAGAUAUUAACCCCUAGCAUAAAUGAAACCUUUGGAAAGUGCUUACUUUUUGUUUUCUUAGCAUAACUUAGAAUUGUAAAGGCCUAGAUUAUUUGCAGCAUUGGCAAUUUCGAAUGUUGUUGUCUUAUACUCUUUCUGUCUCUUGCAGCUGCUGGGUGUGCAGGGAGGGCUAGAACACUCAGAGCAGAGAAGCCAGGAUCCUGUCAACAUUUAGCUUACCUGGAGAUGCUCCUGGUCCCACUUUGGCUGCUUUGUGGUCAACAUGAAUUGGGUGGAUGCUUCCAAAGGGCCGACUUGAGACUGGGGAUACAUGAGGUCCAGAACCCCGUAGGACACGGUAAUGUGAUAAAAACUAUGUGCCAGGUGCUUUCCCUUUGGCUCAUAUCUUUCCCUUUGGCUCAUACUCUCACAUCCCAUUCACUAAAUGGAAUGCACCAUUUAGUGGAUGGAGAGAUGGAGAUAAAGGAAAGGCUAGAACAACCAAAUGACUUUUUUUUUCACUCUCAGGGUGAUUUUGUUCCUCCCCAUGUGGACACAGCCUGCUGCUACAUGAUAAUAUUGCCUAGGGUGCCUGUAUAAUUUACUGACCAAACCAGGAUGCUCUUGAGAGUAACAGGGGGCAUGAAUCUUAUUCCCAUCCCCUGAGUAUUUGGGGUAAGCCUGGGUUAAAUGGCCUCCUUGUAUUGCCCAAUAUAUACAUUUGCUUUCUGGGAUCUGUUUUCAGAGCUGUGCUCUGAAUGCCAUCUGAUGUGGAGUGACCUGCACACGUGGCCUACUGCAU